CCCAUCGUUCAUUACCGUGUGGACUCCUGCGCACGUUAGCCGCUGCUCGAAGCCCUGCGUGACCUUUCGUCGUCUGCGUCUUCCGUCUCCUCCAUUUUCAAACUUCAACCUCCUUUUAUAGAGAGAGAAGAACGUGGUGACAGUGAGAGAGAUAGAGAUAGAGAUAGAGAUAUAGGCACGAAGAAGAGAAGAUUGACUCGGACUCGUAAACGCAAGUCAUGGCUGAGACGAGAUUAAAGGUUCCAGGCAGAUAGCUAAGCACGGCAUCUGUAAGAUCCUUUGCUAGCUUAGGUGGUGAAUUAUGUUCAGAGUUUGUUUGAAAUGGUGGAACCUAUAUCCUGUGUAACUUAAUCCUUUGCUAUCUUAUAUAUAUCAUUGUAAGUAUCUGCUACAAGUACUAUGCCUUUGCC